rnacentral:rRNA from 1 species
AACGAACGCUGGCGGCAGGCCUAACACAUGCAAGUCGAACGCUCCGCAAGGGGAGUGGCGCACGGGUGAGUAACGCGUGGGAACGUGCCCUUAGGUACGGAACAACAGCUGGAAACGGCUGCUACUAACGUAUGAUGUCGUCGGACCAAAGAUUUAUCGCCUAAGGAUCGGCCCGCGUUAGAUUGGGUAGUUGGUGGGGUAAAAGCCUACCAAGCCUACGAUCUAUAGCUGGUCUCAGAGGAUGAUCAGCCACACUGGAACUGAGACACGGUCCAGACUCCUACGGGAGGCAGCAGUGAGGAAUAUUGGACAAUGGGCGCAAGCCUGAUCCAGCCAUGCCGCGUGAAUGAUGAAGGCCUUAGGGUUGUAAAGUUCUUUUAGCUGUGACGAUGAUGACGGUAGCAGCAGAAAAAGCCCCGGCUAACUCCGUGCCAGCCGCCGCGGUAAAAC